rnacentral:lncRNA from 1 species
CGCUCCCUUCUACCAUGACCAGAAUCGAAACUAAUACAAAUGCAGCCACCAUCUGGAAAAAACAUAGGUAAUUCAUUGGACAUUUUCCUUUCUUGACUGUUAAAAAUUCCUCAACAGUUAACUUAUGCAAAUUAGUAAGAAGGUACAAAUGUCAAAAUGACAAAAGGGUACAAAAGUCACAAUAUGAUCAUACCGUUUUGGCCUGGUAUUGCUAUUUAAGUGAAGACAUCCAAAAGGGAGAAAUAUGACAACUGGUAUUUGCUUACUUGCCAAUGAACUAUUACAUAAUGAAUUUUAAAAAAUAGAAACAUUUCUAAUUUCCAGUUGUAAGGGAAUGAAUGGUUAGGCCCAUUGUGAUGUUAAAACUAAAAUAAGUAUUUAGUUGUUAGGGAAAAAAUGAGGAUUAUAUUAAAAUAUGUAAAGUACUUAAGUAAAAGAAGUGGGGAAAGCCAAAAUUUUAUGGAAUUGCUGCAAUUCUGUCAGAGUAAACUGGUAGGAUCAAAAGAUCUGAUGUUUAUAAACACUUGAUGUGAAACGUUUUUCAUUUUAUUUUACUUUUGCAUUGCUUCUGAUGUUUAAUGUUCCUUUUUAAUGUUUAUUAUUGUUACCAUGCUUUCUAUUCAAUUGCAUGUUUUCUACUAAAACUCUUAAUAUUUAAAAAAUAUUAAAAUCUCAC